rnacentral:rRNA from 1 species
UAGACGACUAAGCGUACACGGUGGAUGCCCUGGCAGUCAGAGGCGAUGAAGGGCGUGCUAAUCUGCGAUAAGCGCCGGUAAGGUGAUAUGAACCGUUAUAACCGGCGAUACCCGAAUGGGGAAACCCAGUGUGAUUCGUCACACUAUCAUUAACUGAAUCCAUAGGUUAAUGAGGCGAACCGGGGGAACUGAAACAUCUAAGUACCCCGAGGAAAAGAAAUCAACCGAGAUUCCCCCAGUAGCGGCGAGCGAACGGGGAGGAGCCCAGAGCCUGAAUCAGCAUGUGUGUUAGUGGAAGCGUCUGGAAAGGCGCGCGAUACAGGGUGACAGCCCCGUACACAAAAGCGCAUGUGCUGUGAGCUCGAUGAGUAGGGCGGGACACGUGGUAUCCUGUCUGAAUAUGGGGGGACCAUCCUCCAAGGCUAAAUACUCCUGACUGACCGAUAGUGAACCAGUACCGUGAGGGAAAGGCGAAAAGAACCCCGGCGAGGGGAGUGAAAAAGAACCUGAAACCGUGUACGUACAAGCAGUGGGAGCNNGUGACUGCGUACCUUUUGUAUAAUGGGUCAGCGACUUAUAUUCUGUAGCAAGGUUAACCGAAUAGGGGAGCCGGAGGGAAACCGAGUCUUAAUUGGGCGUUAAGUUGCAGGGUAUAGACCCGAAACCCGGUGAUCUAGCCAUGGGCAGGUUGAAGGUUGGGUAACACUAACUGGAGGACCGAACCGACUAAUGUUGAAAAAUUAGCGGAUGACCUGUGGCUGGGGGUGAAAGGCCAAUCAAACCGGGAGAUAGCUGGUUCUCCCCGAAAGCUAUUUAGGUAGCGCCUCGUGAAUUCAUCUCCGGGGGUAGAGCACUGUUUCGGCUAGGGGGCCAUCCCGGCUUACCAACCCGAUGCAAACUGCGAAUACCGGAGAAUGUUAUCACGGGAGACACACGGCGGGUGCUAACGUCCGUCGUGAAGAGGGAAACAACCCAGACCGCCAGCUAAGGUCCCAAAGUCAUGGUUAAGUGGGAAACGAUGUGGGAAGGCCCAGACAGCCAGGAUGUUGGCUUAGAAGCAGCCAUCAUUUAAAGAAAGCGUAAUAGCUCACUGGUCGAGUCGGCCUGCGCGGAAGAUGUAACGGGGCUAAACCAUGCACCGAAGCUGCGGCAGCGAACGUAUCACCCAAGACAACUUUACGGAGUUGACGAUUGACGGAGCGAAGCGACGUCAAAGCGUUCAUUAAAGUCGAGUUGGCUUAGGGAUACGUUCGUUGGGUAGGGGAGCGUUCUGUAAGCCUGUGAAGGUGUGUCGUGAGGCAUGCUGGAGGUAUCAGAAGUGCGAAUGCUGACAUAAGUAACGAUAAAGCGGGUGAAAAGCCCGCUCGCCGGAAGACCAAGGGUUCCUGUCCAACGUUAAUCGGGGCAGGGUGAGUCGACCCCUAAGGCGAGGCCGAAAGGCGUAGUCGAUGGGAAACGGGUUAAUAUUCCCGUACUUGGUGUUACUGCGAAGGGGGGACGGAGAAGGCUAUGUUGGCCGGGCGACGGUUGUCCCGGUUUAAGCGUGUAGGUGUGUGUUCCAGGUAAAUCCGGUUCACUUUAACACUGAGGCGUGACGACGAGGCACUACGGUGCUGAAGCAACAAAUGCCCUGCUUCCAGGAAAAGCCUCUAAGCAUCAGGUAACAUCAAAUCGUACCCCAAACCGACACAGGUGGUCAGGUAGAGAAUACCAAGGCGCUUGAGAGAACUCGGGUGAAGGAACUAGGCAAAAUGGUGCCGUAACUUCGGGAGAAGGCACGCUGACACGUAGGUGAAGUGAUUUACUCAUGGAGCUGAAGUCAGUCGAAGAUACCAGCUGGCUGCAACUGUUUAUUAAAAACACAGCACUGUGCAAACACGAAAGUGGACGUAUACGGUGUGACGCCUGCCCGGUGCCGGAAGGUUAAUUGAUGGGGUCAGCGCAAGCGAAGCUCCUGAUCGAAGCCCCGGUAAACGGCGGCCGUAACUAUAACGGUCCUAAGGUAGCGAAAUUCCUUGUCGGGUAAGUUCCGACCUGCACGAAUGGCGUAAUGAUGGCCAGGCUGUCUCCACCCGAGACUCAGUGAAAUUGAACUCGCUGUGAAGAUGCAGUGUACCCGCGGCAAGACGGAAAGACCCCGUGAACCUUUACUAUAGCUUGACACUGAACAUUGAGCCUUGAUGUGUAGGAUAGGUGGGAGGCUUUGAAGUGUGGACGCCAGUCUGCAUGGAGCCGACCUUGAAAUACCACCCUUUAAUGUUUGAUGUUCUAACGUGGACCCGUAAUCCGGGUUGCGGACAGUGUCUGGUGGGUAGUUUGACUGGGGCGGUCUCCUCCUAAAGAGUAACGGAGGAGCACGAAGGUUGGCUAAUCCUGGUCGGACAUCAGGAGGUUAGUGCAAUGGCAUAAGCCAGCUUGACUGCGAGCGUGACGGCGCGAGCAGGUGCGAAAGCAGGUCAUAGUGAUCCGGUGGUUCUGAAUGGAAGGGCCAUCGCUCAACGGAUAAAAGGUACUCCGGGGAUAACAGGCUGAUACCGCCCAAGAGUUCAUAUCGACGGCGGUGUUUGGCACCUCGAUGUCGGCUCAUCACAUCCUGGGGCUGAAGUAGGUCCCAAGGGUAUGGCUGUUCGCCAUUUAAAGUGGUACGCGAGCUGGGUUUAGAACGUCGUGAGACAGUUCGGUCCCUAUCUGCCGUGGGCGCUGGAGAACUGAGGGGGGCUGCUCCUAGUACGAGAGGACCGGAGUGGACGCAUCACUGGUGUUCGGGUUGUCAUGCCAAUGGCACUGCCCGGUAGCUAAAUGCGGAAGAGAUAAGUGCUGAAAGCAUCUAAGCACGAAACUUGCCCCGAGAUGAGUUCUCCCUGAGACUUAGAGUCUCCUGAAGGAACGUUGAAGACGACGACGUUGAUAGGCCGGGUGUGUAAGCGCAGCGAUGCGUUGAGCUAACCGGUACUAAUGAACCGUGAGGCUUAACCUUACAACGCCGAAG